rnacentral:rRNA from 1 species
UACGUAGGGUGCGAGCGUUGUCCGGAAUUAUUGGGCGUAAAGAGCUCGUAGGCGGUCUGUCGCGUCGGUCGUGAAAACUUACAGCUUAACUGUGAGCGUGCUUCCGAUACGGGCAGACUUGAGGUAUUCAGGGGAGAACGGAAUUCCUGGUGUAGCGGUGAAAUGCGCAGAUAUCAGGAGGAACACCGGUGGCGAAGGCGGUUCUCUGGGAAUAUCCUGACGCUGAGGAGCGAAAGUGUGGGGAGCGAACAGG